GAUGAACGCUGGCGGCGUGCCUAAUACAUGCAAGUCGAGCGAACGGAUAAGGAGCUUGCUCCUUUGAAGUUAGCGGCGGACGGGUGGGUAACACGUGGGUAACCUACCUAUAAGACUGGAAUAACUUCGGGAAACCGGAGCUAAUGCCGGAUAACAUUUGGAACUGCAUGGUUCUAAAGUAAAAGAUGGUUUUGCUAUCACUUAUAGAUGGACCCGCGCCGUAUUAGCUAGUUGGUAAGGUAACGGCUUACCAAGGCAACGAUACGUAGCCGACCUGAGAGGGUGAUCGGCCACACUGGAACUGAGACACAGUCCAGACUCCUACGGGAGGCAGCAGUAGGGAAUCUUCCGCAAUGGACGAAAGUCUGACGGAGCAACGCCGCGUGAGUGAUGAAGGUUUUCGGAUCGUAAAACUCUGUUAUUAGGGAAGAACAAAUGUGUAAGUAACUGUGCACAUCUUGACGGUACCUAAUCAGAAAGCCACGGCUAACUACGUGCCAGCCGCCGCGGUAA
rnacentral:rRNA from 1 species